rnacentral:rRNA from 1 species
UGAGUGCAGAAGAGGAGAGUGGAAUUCCACGUGUAGCGGUGAAAUGCGUAGAGAUGUGGAGGAACACCAGUGGCGAAGGCGACUCUCUGGUC